UACGGGGGGAGCAAGCGUUGUUCGGAUUUACUGGGCGUAAAGGGCGCGUAGGCGGCCACCGCAAGUCGACUGUGAAAUCUCCGGGCUUAACUCGGAAAGGUCAGCCGAUACUGCGGGGCUAGAGUGCAGAAGGGGCAGCUGGAAUUCUCGGUGUAGCGGUGAAAUGCGUAGAUAUCUGGAGGAACACCGGUGGCGAAGGCGGCGUUCUGGACUGUUUCUGACACUGAAAAACGAAAGCCAGGGGAGCAAACGGG
rnacentral:rRNA from 1 species